GGUUGAAUGGCCGAGAAUUAAGCAAUAAAUUGUAAAUUUAUUUAGGAAUUAAAUAUUCUUCAAUCA
rnacentral:tRNA from 1 species